rnacentral:tRNA from 1 species
CAGGAGAAAAGGGAUUCGA